rnacentral:misc_RNA from 1 species
CCGAGUUUACAACUCCCAAACCCCUGUGAACAUACCUAUACUUGUUGCCUCGGCGGAUCAGCCCGCGCCCGUAAAACGGGACGGCCCGCCAGAGGACCCCUAAACUCUGUUUCUAUAGUGGAACUUCUGAGUAAAACCAUAAAUAAAUCA